UAUUGGACGUGGCCGGAGUGUCGGAGUGCCGGAGUCCUGGAAGCCAUUGCCCAUAAACCGAGAAACAAAACUUUGCCCUGCCGUCGAAGCGGGAGUGUUGAGGAAUAAAUUGCCAUGCCGUAGGUGACGGGCCAAACUAAAGGGUUUUCGCAACAGCUCUCCUCCCGGAAAACUGGGUCAUCAAUAAGGUGAUACUUUCAAGGCGAAUAUCCCGAAACAAAUGCCGGAUUAAUCUUAAGCUCGAAUGGUAUCGAAAUCGGAGGGAUUUCCUCGAUGCCCAGCUAUUCCCGACUGAUGGUCAUCAAUAAGGAACUACUUGAAGAAUCAUCGGAAAAAUCAAUUUGACAUUGUAACAAGCUACAGCUACUUGGUUUCCAUUUUGUCGACCGAAAAGCAAUGUGCACAAGAAAAUGUCAUAAAGAGAUGAAGAGCAAUAAGA